GUGGGGAAUCUUGGUCAAUGGGCGAAAGCCUGAACCAGCGAUGACGCGUGAGUGAUGAAAGCCUUCGGGUUGUAAAGCUCUGUGGGGAGAGAAGAAAACAUUCUGGGCGAAUAGGCCAGGAUCUUGACGGUAUCUCCUUAGCAAGCACCGGCUAACUCUGUGCCAGCAGCCGCGGUAAUACAGAGGGUGCAAACGUUGCUCGGAAUUACUGGGCGUAAAGCGCGUGUAGGCGGACUGAUAAGUCAGAUGUGAAAUCCCUGGGCUCAACCUAGGAACUGCAGUUGAAACUGUCUGUAUUGAGUAUCGGAGAGGAUUGCGGAAUUCCUGGUGUAGAGGUGAAAUUCGUAGAUAUCAGGAGGAACACCGGUGGCGAAGGCGGCAAUCUGGACGAUUACUGACGCUGAGACGCGAAAGCGUGGGGAGCAAACAGGAUUAGAAACCCGUGUAGUCC
rnacentral:rRNA from 1 species